GACGAACCGUGCGAACGUUGUUCGGAAUCACUGGGCUUAAAGGGCGCGUAGGCGGGCACAAAAGUCAGAGGUGAAAGCCCCCGGCUCAACCGGGGAAGUGCCUUUGAUACUGUGUGUCUCGAGGGGGAUAGGGGCGUGCGGAACUUCCGGUGGAGCGGUGAAAUGCGUAGAUAUCGGAAGGAACACCGGUGGCGAAAGCGGCGCGCUGGAUCCCUUCUGACGCUGAGGCGCGAAAGCUAGGGGAGCAAACGGG
rnacentral:rRNA from 1 species